rnacentral:lncRNA from 1 species
CCUACUGACCUGAAGUCCCUGUAAUGAAUUGUAAAUAUUAAUAGGACUACCAGUAUCUAAUACUAGGUCAUUCUAUCAAAAAUUGAGAAGUUAUAAGGUAUUAUUAUAUGAUUACCUUGUCCAGCAACCAAUUGCUUCUUCUUCUUCGAUCUGUUCGGAUCAAAGAAAGCUAUAUAUUGAGAAUAGUUUCUCUUCUAAUGACCCUGUCUCUUACAAUAGAAUUACUCUGCCUGACUUU